AAAAACAUGUCUAUUUGGAGAUAGAAAUAGUCUAGCCUGCUCACUGAUAAAAAUUGAAGAGCCGCGGUAUUUUGACCGUGCAAAGGUAGCAUAAUCAUUAGUUUUUUAAUUGGAAACUUGUAUGAAUGGUUGGACAAGAGAGAAGCUGUCUAUAUUAUAAAUAUUGAAUUUAACUUUUAAGUGAAAAGGCUUAAAUACUUUAAAGGGACGAUAAGACCCUAUAAAACUUUAUAUGUUGGUUUAAUUUUUUUGAAUUUUAAUGAUUUAAUUAUAUAACUAUAUUUUGUUGGGGCGACAAAGGUAUAAAUAAUAUUAACUGCUUAUGAUUUAUAAACAAAAAUGUUUGAGUUUAAAUAAAUGAUCCCUUUUAGGGAGUAAAAGACUAAGUUACUUUAGGGAUAACAGCGUAAUUUCUUUUGAGAGUUCAUAUCGAGAAAGAAGAUUGCGACCUCGAUGUUGAAUUAAAAUGUCUAUUUAGAGCAGCCUUUAAAUAAGAAGAUCUGUUCGAUCUUUAAAUUUUUACAUGAUUUGAGUUCAAACCGGCGUGAGCCAGG
rnacentral:rRNA from 1 species